ACAAGCGGUGGAGCACGUGGUUUAAUUCGAUGCAAACCGAAGAACCUUACCUGGGUUUGACAUGUACGUGGUACGGAUCUGAAAGGUAAAGGACUUACUCUUCGGAGUGAGAGCGUACACAGGUGCUGCAUGGCUGUCGUCAGCCCGUGUCGUGAGAUGUUGGGUUAAGUCCCGCAACGAGCGCAACCCCUGCAUUCAGUUGCCAUCGGUAAGGCCGGGCACUCUGGAUGGACUGCCGGCGACAAGCCGGAGGAAGGUGGGGACGACGUCAAGUCAUCAUGGCCCUUAUGUCCAGGGCGACACACGUGCUACAAUGGCCGGCACAACGGGAAGCGAAGGGGCGACCCUGAGCGGAUCCCACAAAAGCCGGUCUCAGUUCGGAUUGCAGUCUGCAACUCGACUGCAUGAAGUUGGAAUCGCUAGUAAUCGUGGAUCAGCCAAGCCGCGGUGAAUACGUUCCCGGGCCUU
rnacentral:rRNA from 1 species